ACUUUGCAUUUAUAAAAUAGUAUAGUAUUGCUGCCAUGAGUGGAGAUUUGAAACAGACAAUAAUAAGAAAAGAAAAAAAAUCAAGUUCUCAAAGUUGAUCAUAAAUUAAUUGAGUGAAUUAUUGAAACAUGAGCUGAUGAAUUUGGAGAUUACGAAGUUAUGAAUGAACAUGGUAACAAAUCAACUACUAAUGCUUGGAGAGGAAGAGCAAGCCGCCGUGUUCUCAUGCAGCUCUCUAUUAUGGAUUUUGAUGUUGAGGAUGAUCAGAAUAUGGAAUUGAAACGACAUACCCAUGAUAGAUCUAGUGAUCUACAACCCAUACGACAUCUCCGAAAUGGAUUACGGCGAGCUCCGGCGGUAGGAUUUGAAGAUUCUGUGGAAGAGGGAGUCGAAAAAGAGUGGCGGUGGUGGUGGUGGUGAGAGUGAUGAGGAGAUCGAGGGUUCGAGUUGGGUUGCUGUGAUGCCUCUGUUUCGGACUAUGGCGGAGGAGAAGUCAACGUGAAAGAAAAAAUAAUUUGAGAAGAAGACGAGAGAAACAAAAGAGAUGGAAGAAUAUAUGAGGGCAAAAUUGUCAUAUAUACAGAAAAUACAGAAAAUAUCUCCUUUUUUGGCAAG